rnacentral:rRNA from 1 species
AUGCAACGCGAAGAACCUUACCAAGGCUUGACAUACUACAGAUUUCUUGAAAGAGGAAAGUGCCUUCGGGAAUGUAGAUACAGGUGGUGCAUGGCUGUCGUCAGCUCGUGUCGUGAGAUGUUGGGUUAAGUCCCGCAACGAGCGCAACCCUUAUUUUUAGUUGCUAAUUUAUUUUAGGUUUUCUAGAAAGACUGCCGGCGACAAACCGGAGGAAGGUGAGGAUGACGUCAAGUCAGCAUGCCCCUUAUGCCUUGGGCUACACACGUGCUACAAUGGUUAAGACAAAGAGUUGCGAGCUCGUGAGAGUCAGCUAAUCUCAUAAACUUAGCCUAAAUUCGGAUUGUAAGCUGCAACUCGCCUGCAUGAAGUCGGAAUCGCUAGUAAUCGCUGGUCAGCCAUACAGCGGUGAAUCCGUUCCCGGGCCUUGUACACACCGCCCGUCAC